ensembl:lncRNA
AGUCCGAAUUUCAUGAAAAUUGGCUCAGAUCAUCUUCAGAUGAUGGUGGCAAAAAGUUAUGGAAUUCAAGUUGAUUCGUCCAACCGUUCUCGAAUACCACGCGAAAAAAUUCUACGAAAAGCAUGCAAAAAUGCUUGUGAGGCUAUAACUCCGCAACGGUUUGGCGUAUUGAGACCAAACUUGGUGUGUGUAAUAACAAGCAGGACCUGAGACUUCCUGCAGUGUUUCGACGCAGCGCCACCUAGUGGUCAGGAGAUAUGAAAAAUGCAUAUUUUUGCUUAUAACUUCUGAAUGGUUUGGCCAAAAAUCACAAAACUGGUCUCAUUAGAUUCGGUGGGUCAUGUCAAGUCGAAUGAUAUCCAAUUUUCCCGUGUCGGCCAUUUUAGGUGUCGGCCAUUUUGAAUUAUGUUUCAAAAUGCUGUAUUUUUUGAACGCAUCAUCGUAUCGCUACGAAAAUAAUUACAAAAAUGUUUGGCUCCAUGCCCUGAAGCUACUCAAAAAGUUUGGUGGCAGCGCCACCUUGUGGUCAAAAGUUAUAAUGAAAUAUCUUAAAAAUGCUAAUAACUUUUGAAAAAAUUAGACUAUUGCAAUGAAAUUCAUGUCGCUAUAUUCUCUUGGUCAUGCCGAGAACAUCGAUACCAAUUAUUCCAAAAUUGGCCAUACUUCCUGUCCGCCAUUUUUAUUAAAGUUGAAAACCUACUUUUUCGAACUCCUCCUAGACCGUUAGUCCGAUUUUCACCAAAUUGGGUUCGGAUCAUCUUCAGACCAAGCUGACAAAAAGUUAUGGAAUUCGUGUUGAUAUACGAAACGGUUUUCGUUUAGCGCAUCGACGAAUUUGUUCGUAAGAUGCAAAAAUACAUCUGAGGCUGUAUCUCGGCAAAGCUUUGACAUAUUUGUACCAACCUUUGUAUGUGCCAUUGUCAUCUCAGACUGACCAUGCCACAUCAAUUUUGUAACAGCGCCACCUAUUGGUCAAGAGUAAUAAAUCAUUCAUUACCCAUUAAUAAUUACACUUAUAAAAAUGCUAAUAACUUUUUAUUGCAUUAGCCUAUUGCAAUGAAACUGGUCUCAAAAAAUUCCUUGGCUUAUGCCGACAACAUAGAUACCAAAUAUGCCAGAGUACGCUGAACUUCCUGUCCGCCAUGUUGAUUUAUGUUGAAAACCUACUUUUUCGAACUCCUCAUCAACCGUUGGUUCGAUUUUCACCAAAAUUAAAUCAGAUGAUCUUCAGACUAUGCUGACAAAAUGUUAUGGAUUUUGUAUCGAUAGACAAAACCGUUUUCGCAUACCACAGUGACGAAUUUCAGGCAUGAUGCCAAAAUGACACUUCAGCCUGUAUCUCUGCAAUGCUUUGGCAUACUGACACCAAACUUUGUGUGUGGCAUUGUCACCUCACACAGAACACACCAAAAUGAUUUGAUUACAGCACCACCUGUUGGUCAAAAGUGAUAAGUCAUUUAAUCAUAAUACUAGUGCUUGUAUUUAUGUUUUUC